rnacentral:lncRNA from 1 species
UAUCUGCAGCCUACUGCCAGCCCCUCCCCCGUUUCCUGUGUGCCCUUCCUGUCUUCUCCGUUGGCUUCCAUCCAGGCCUCCGUGACAUACCCAGAAGCUGCAAAUGAUCUCCAAAAUCUCAAGUGUUUCACUAGAGUCGUGGCUGCUGGCAUAGUCUGUGUUAAAGCCCCAGCUACUGCAGCGGUGAAGCAAGAAGAGAAGGCUGAUGCUGCUGGGUCUCAGCACUGCAUCGCUCGCUGUGACACGGAGAGAGCAGCUCCUCCCUCUCCUCAGAAGGAAUGAGCUGGAAGGAAAAUGAUCAACAAGAAAAGCAUGUUCAUAGGAGAAAGAAUUUCAGUUGCUUGUGGAUUCAGCUGCCCAGCACAUGCACUAUUCAUUAGCACUGGCAGGACUGUAAAAACCAGCAGAUGGUGUCAGGUGAGCCAGAACAAGACUGGGAAUGCCAAAUAUGGCACAUUCAAUUCUAAAUCAGUAAAGCAGCAAGGCACUUGCUUACUCUUGCACCGUGGGCACAGCCAGCUAGCAAAGGUGAUGGAUGGAGAGGAGGGAACGCAGGGUCUGGAGCUUGCUGGGGAGCCCGGGGAGGGCUGAAGGUCUCUGGCUGGAAGAGCUUGCUGCCUCUGGGUGCUGCAGGAGGCAGAUUCCCUUCUUCCCCAUCUCCUGCAAGGAAAGAUGGGAUGUAAAGGAGGGGGAAAUAACAUGUUAGCUCACAUCAUCCAAAGAUAUAUUUCAUUUGCUUUCAAGAUCUGUUCUCUCUUUUCUGUCAAGGCAUAUGGAAAUUGACUGCAUUGUGUCCUGAAGCCAUCUGGGUGUUGGUUUUUCUGAUGUAACUAAGGAUUCAAUGGUGUGUAGCUUGUUAUAAUGUGGUCUGAUAGGACAUCUUCAAUUUGCCACUGUAGGCAAGUUUCUUUGAUUGCUUUGUGACGAGUGCAAUUGGAAACAUAUUCCAAACACAAUGAUGGGAAGAAAGGGAGGCCUAUAUUUCCCUCCAGUGCUCCCCAUGUGAUCUAUCUGGAUGUUUUGGAUCUGGCUGAGAUGGAGUUAAUUUUCCCCAUAACAGCCCUCAUAGCCCUGUGCUUUGUGUUGGUAGCUAGAAAGAUGUUGAUAUCACACCAGUGUUUUGGCUUUGUGUUGCAACAAAGCAUCAAGGCUGUCUCUCCAACAUUCCCUGCUCACUGGUAAGCUGGCAAUGGGCAAGAUCUUGGAAGGGGACAUAGCCAGGACAGCUGACCCAAACUGACCAAGGGGGUAUUCUGUACCAUAUGACAUCUGUUCAGCAAUAAAAGCUAAGAGAAAGGAGGAGAAGGGGGUGGG